AAGUCGUAACAAGGUUUCCGUAGGUGAACCUGCGGAAGGAUCAUUACAGAGUUCAUGCCCUUCGGGGGUAGGAUCUCCCACCCUUGUGUAUCGUUAUAGAAUGUUGCUUUGGCCGGGCUGCGUGCCUAGCAUGCCUCGAUUCGCGUCGAGCGGCCCGCCAGAGGACCCUAAACUCUGAAUGUUAGUGUCGUCUGAGACUUUAAAUAGUCAAAA
rnacentral:misc_RNA from 1 species